GACAGAGGAUGCAAGCGUUAUCCGGAAUGAUUGGGCGUAAAGCGUCUGUAGGUGGCUUUUUAAGUCCGCCGUCAAAUCCCAGGGCUCAACCCUGGACAGGCGGUGGAAACUACCAAGCUGGAGUACGGUAGGGGCAGAGGGAAUUUCCGGUGGAGCGGUGAAAUGCGCAGAUAUCAGGAAGAACACCCGUGGCGAAGGCGGCUUUCUGGGACGGUACUGACGCUGAGACGCGAAAGCGUGGGGAGCGAACAGG
rnacentral:rRNA from 1 species